rnacentral:rRNA from 1 species
AUUGAACGCUGGCGGCAUGCUUUACACAUGCAAGUCGAACGGCAGCGCGGGCGUCGGCCUGGCGGCGAGUGGCGCACGGGUGAGUGAUGCAUCGGAACGUGCCCCGCAGUGGGGGAUAGCCCGGCGAAAGCCGGAUUAAUACCGCAUACGACCUGAGGGUGAAAGCGGGGGACCGAAAGACCUCGCGCUAUUGGAGCGGUCGAUGUCGGGUUAGCUAGUUGGUUGGGUAAAGGCUUACCAAGGCGACGAUCCGUAGCUGGUCUGAGAGGACGACCAGCCACACUGGGACUGAGACACGGCCCAGACUCCUACGGGAGGCAGCAGUGGGGAAUUUUGGACAAUGGGGGCAACCCUGAUCCAGCCAUGCCGCGUGCGGGAAGAAGGCCUUCGGGUUGUAAAGCGCUUUUGUUCGGGAAGAAAUCCUGUGGGCUAAUACCCCGGGGGGAUGACGGUACCGGAAGAAUAAGCACCGGCUAACUACGUG